rnacentral:rRNA from 1 species
UACGAAGGGGGCUAGCGUUGCUCGGAAUCACUGGGCGUAAAGGGUGCGUAGGCGGGCGCGACAAGUCACUUGUGAAAUCUCCGGGCUUAACCCGGAACGGCCAAGUGAAACUGUCGUGCUAGAGUGCGGAAGGGGCAAUCGGAAUUCUCGGUGUAGCGGUGAAAUGCGUAGAUAUCGAGAGGAACACCUGAGGUGAAGACGGGUUGCUGGGCCGACACUGACGCUGAGUGCGCGAAAGCCAGGGGAGCAAACGGG